rnacentral:snoRNA from 1 species
AAGACUAUACUUUCAGGGAUCAUUUCUAUAGUUUGUUACUAGAGAAGUUUCUCUGAACGUGUAGAGCACCGGAAACCACGAGGAAGAGACGUAGUGUCCUCUCCUGAGCGUGAAGCUGACUUUUGGUGUUGUUUUGGUGCAACAGCCAUUUGUCAUUGAUGAUCGUUCUUCUUUUUCUUUCGGGAAAGAAGAGGGAGAGGACACUGUCUGAGUGGA